AACAGGAUUAGAUACCCUGGUAGUCCACGCCGUAAACGAUGUCGACUUGGAGGUUGUGCCCUUGAGGCGUGGCUUCCGGAGCUAACGCGUUAAGUCGACCGCCUGGGGAGUACGGCCGCAAGGUUAAAACUCAAAUGAAUUGACGGGGGCCCGCACAAGCGGUGGAGCAUGUGGUUUAAUUCGAUGCAACGCGAAGAACCUUACCUGGUCUUGACAUCCACGGAAUUUGGCAGAGAUGCCUUAGUGCCUUCGGGAACCGUGAGACAGGUGCUGCAUGGCUGUCGUCAGCUCGUGUUGUGAAAUGUUGGGUUAAGUCCCGCAACUAGCGCAACCCUUAUCCUUUGUUGCCAGCGGUCCGGCCGGGAACUCAAAGGAGACUGCCAGUGAUAAACUGGAGGAAGGUGGGGAUGACGUCAAGUCAUCAUGGCCCUUACGACCAGGGCUACACACGUGCUACAAUGGCAUAUACAAAGAGAAGCGACCUCGCGAGAGCAAGCGGACCUCAUAAAGUAUGUCGUAGUCCGGAUUGGAGUCUGCAACUCGACUCCAUGAAGUCGGAAUCGCUAGUAAUCGUGGAUCAGAAUGCCACGGUGAAUACGUUCCCGGGCCUUGUACACACCGCCCGUCACACCAUGGGAGUGGGUUGCAAAAGAAGUAGGUAGCUUAACCUUCGGGAGGGCGCUUACCACUUUGUGAUUCAUGACUGGGGUGAAGUCGUAACAAGGUAACC
rnacentral:rRNA from 1 species